rnacentral:lncRNA from 1 species
CAUCACCUGAAGCUGCAGCACAGCCGCCUUACUCCUCCGGCGCAAGACCGCGCCAAAGCAAGCACGAGCCGCGGUUUAGGGGCUCGCGGCACACCUCGGGAUAACGAAGGCGCUGCCGGGACUCGCGCCGCCGGCAGCCGGGGCUCUCCUCACCCGGCUCCCCCUCGCUCCCGGGGGCACGAAGCCCACAGCCGGCAGCACCAAGCCGGCAGAGGGAGCGCACCGGAGCCCCGGUCCCCAACCCCCACACGCACCCCGCGGCUCCCGGGCGCCGCGGAGCGGGGUCCGCCCGCCCGCCCGCCACCUGCCGCGGCAGCGCCCCGCUCCCUGCCCUCCGCCGCCGCGGCGGAGCCGGGGGCCGCCGGCGGGGCGCGGCGCGGGGCUCGGGGACCGCCCCCGCCGCCCCCCGGGAGCCCCGCUCAGGUGCCGCCGCCGCCGCCCCGCUCCCGCCGCGUUACCUCCGGGCCCGGCCCCCCGCUGCCGGCGCCUUCCAGGCGGGGCGGGCGACCCCGGCCGGGCGCCUCCGUCCUGCACCGCCCGCCGCCCGCCGCCACCCCCGGCCGCGCCGCCCCCGCCCCGCGGAGCGUACCAACGGCCGGCGGGGGGGGGUGGGGGGGGAAGCGCGGCGCCGGGCCCCGCGGGCGGCAGCGGGGCGGCGGGGCUGCGGGCCCUUUAAGGCGAAGAGGGGAGGGAGGGGGGCGGGCCGCGCACCGCGGCGGGGCGGGAGGUGCGCGCGCGGCCCCGGGGGCUCCGCACCGGGCUCCGCGCGCACCUCGGCCCCGUGCGCCCCGCGCUAAUGGGGGGGCUCGGUCGCAGCGGGGGGAGCGCGGUCCCCAGCACCGCACGGCUUCGUUCGUGCGCCCCGUGCAAGCGGGAGCCUGCUUGCGGCGUGAAGAGCGCGCUCCCGAGCAACGCUUGGAUCCGCAACUUCCACCCGUGCAAACUUCACCUGUGCACGCCCGCGUCUUCGUGUGCCCCCCCCCCCCGGCGGGGGGUUCCUUGCGGCAUGAAGAGUGCAUGCACCGAGCAGCACGCGACAUUUGUACCUGUGCAAAUUGCACCCGUGCAGACUUCACCCGUGCACCCUUGUAUCUUCGUGUGCCCCGUGCAAGUGGGGACUUGCUUGCAGCACGAAAAAUGCAUGCCUGA